AUACGUAGGGAGCGAGCGUUGUCCGGAAUUACUGGGUGUAAAGGGAGCGUAGGCGGGAGUGCAAGUCAGAUGUGGAAUGCAUGGGCUUAGCCCAUGAGCUGCAUUUGAAACUGCAUUUCUUGAGUGAAGUAGAGGUAAGCGGAAUUCCUGGUGUAGCGGUGAAAUGCGUAGAUAUCAGGAGGAACACCGGUGGCGAAGGCGGCUUACUGGGCUUUUACUGACGCUGAGGCUCGAAAGCGUGGGGAGCAAACAGGAUUAGAUACCAUGGUAGUCCACGCUGUAAACGAUGAUUACUAGGUGUGGGGGGACUGACCCCUUCCGUGCCGCAGUUAACACAAUAAGUAAUCCACCUGGGGAGUACGGCCGCAAGGUUGAAACUCAAAUGAAUUGGCGGGG
rnacentral:rRNA from 1 species